UACGGGGGGGGGCAAGCGUUGUUCGGAAUUACUGGGCGUAAAGGGCUCGUAGGCGGCCAACUAAGUCGGAUGUGAAAUCCCCAGGCUUAACCUGGGAACUGCAUCCGAUACUGGAUGGCUUGAAUCCGGGAGAGGGAUGCGGAAUUCCAGGUGUAGCGGUGAAAUGCGUAGAUAUCAGGAGGAACACCGGUGGCGAAGGCGGGUCUCUGGGCCGAAACUGACGCUGAGGAGCGAAAGCGUGGGGAGCAAACAGG
rnacentral:rRNA from 1 species